GGAAGACAAAAUAUGCUUCGUUCUCUCUGCAUUUAGAGUUUCCGUGUCUGGAGAGUGUGGGGCUCGCAGUCGCUUCCUGUCCUCUAAGGUCUGCAUACAGAGAUGCUGGAACUAUUGGUUUGGAGGUGCCCGUUGGAGCCCAGGAACCAAGGAACGGGAGGCGUCCCUGCUCUGAUCGUGCGCCUGGCUUGGCUGCCUCCUGCAGCCCAGCGCUACCUGCACAGCUUCUAGGAGAGGCGGCGCCUCCCACGCAUCCUAAUCACAUGUCUACAGGAAUUCAGAGGCCAAGGAGCCCAUGGAGGCCUGGAGAGAGGAGGCAGGGUGUCCCGGAGAAGGAGGAGGGCAGAGGUUGUCACAAGGAGCUGCUAAACAGAUCAAAAGGCAUUGAAGGAUGGAGUGACAUGAUAUAUGACCUGCCCAAUCCUUGACUGCACAUCACAUAAGCAGUCCUAAGGAUGUGAAGUAUAUGAUGCCACCAGUUGAAUGGAUUGAAGCUCCUACACGUACACUGUUGGUUUCAGAUUCUCUACUCUACAACAUCAGAAAAGAAUCUAUUUUUGGUGAGAUAACAAAUGUGCUAUGUUACUCUAGAAUAAAGACAUCUGUUUACUUACAAUUUUAAGUGAUAAGAGUUCUGCUUCUAUUUUACAGUAGACACUCUAAAGCUAAAAGAUGUAAAUCCAAACAGUGUCG
rnacentral:lncRNA from 1 species